GGACACCAUUAUUGGUGGUCUCAUAGACAACCUGUAGUGGACCUAGGAUAAAGUUUUACCCAGGUUAAACAUAAGUAAAAAAAAAAAUUGAUGAGGCAAAUGCGAUUUUACUCAAUAACAAUGAAAAAAAAUAUGAAAAUUUACCCAGGACAACUGCCCUCCUCUUUUUGUAUGUAGGUCCGCCACUGUAGACAACUUUUAGCCUAAGAUUUGCUAAAAGAUGUUUCUUAUAAUGCUCAUCAUGUUUUACUAUUUC
rnacentral:lncRNA from 1 species